UUUCCUCUGUCGCCCUAGCAGCUGGGCUCAGUCCCUGGCAGCAGAGCUGCCUCUUGGGUUUUCUUGUUAAAAGAAGAAACUUGCCUCCAGUCGUCUCUCCACCUACCUGCCUCAGCCAUCGUGUGCAUUACUCGUAGCUGUGCCUGUAACUAAACCAGUCAGCUCUUGCUGGAAGUGUAGAGAAAUUGGCUCCAUGAGGAAGUUUCUGCGGGUGGUUCCCAUUUUCUUCUCCAAAAUGAAGAGGACCAAAUUUUGAAACUUGAUGUCAUGAGGAGGGGAGGCCAUCGAGGCACCCACCUGCCUGGGUCUCUUCUUCCGAGGGCCUGAGGAGGCUGUGCACAGCGGAUCCAUGGGAAGAAGCUGAUGCUGCCUCUGGCUGUGCCAUCAAGUGGAGAGGGAGAGCCUGCCCCUCCUUCACGAGGAGCCCUGAUGUCAUCUCACCAUCCCACCCAGCCCUGCCCUGCUCAUGGCUUCCUGCCCAAGAUCCAGGGGGAACUGCUAUCUCUGUUCAUUUGUCCAGUCUGGGAAUCAUAAUGGGAAUGAAAAAGCUUCAACAUACCCUUCAGGGGCACCAACACUAGCCAGGAACAUCUACUUCUCAGAGGUCUGAGUUUCAGCUCUGCAAGGAUUUUCCUAUGAAUUCCCACAGCAUCACCAGCAACAAGCAGCUCCCUCUUCUCAGAGAUCUAUAUUCCAGCACCAUGGGAAUCUCCUGCUCCAAACUUGCAGAUUUCAACAAGGUCCACUCUGUCCCGGUGUUCUUACAGCCCUGGGGUGAGACACACUUCCUAUUGUUACUCUCUCUGAGUUAUCUCAGUGUUCUCAUUUUGCUUUGGAGCCCUCUGAUGCCUGUUAAACCAAUCCCCUGUAUUAAAUUCUGUCGAAAUAACCAGCAUGAUUUCCUUUUUCCUAACUAGACCCUGAGUGAUAAAUAUAUUGUCCAAUGAAAGUGAGGGUGUAGAGAAUGGGGACUGACCUACACUGCUGGAAGCAUACUCAU